rnacentral:snRNA from 1 species
UUGCUUCUGCAGCACAUAUACUAAAAUUGGAAUGAUACAGAGAUUGACAUGGCCCCUGCUCAAGGAUGGCACGCAAAUUCAUGUAGUGUUACUUACAUAU